AAAGUCGUAACAAGGUUUCCGUAGGUGAACCUGCGGAAGGAUCAUUAAUAUAUAGGAUACCAAAGAAAAAACAACCACCUUGUGUGCAUUCUUUGAAAAAAAAAAAAUUUCCUGAAGGAAAAAUCGUUUUCUUUCCCGAAAAUAUAUAUAUUAUCAAACCCUUCUUUUUUUUUGAAUCUGAACAAAAAUUUUUGAUAUAACAAAAAUAAACAACUUUCAACAACGGAUCUCUUGGCUCUC
rnacentral:misc_RNA from 1 species